rnacentral:tRNA from 1 species
UUAAGUUUCUCUUGACUUUAUAAAUCGAUUCAAAUAUUAUCGAAUCAAAGUUCAAGACGAAGUUAGUUGCACAUGUCUUUAGAUGACAAAUAAUUUCACAUACUUUCGAUUAUCGAAUUGAUCACACAAGAUUUCUCCAGAAAAAGAAUAUGAAUAUAUAUUUUUGAAGAAGUUAAAAAAAUAACUCGUUCUAAGUUUCUUAUCUUGAAGGUCAAAUAAGGCAAAUAAAGUAUAACAGCGAGUUGAUAUUUUUCUUCGUUUGUCUUCACUAUUUGCGUUAUAUUUAUCGAUUUUUUGUCGCGUUCAAAUUUUUUGGAUUAAUCUCAAUUAAUAAUAAUAAUAAUAAUUAUUGGAUUCUCUUACUUUGAUCUUCACGUAGGAAUGAGUUCCAAGAUUGUUGUUGACAAGACAUGGCGGUGGUUUAUCUCUCUGUUCUAAUAUGAAAAACUUUUUAGGAUCCCAAGCCCAUUUCAACAAUCUUUUUACUAUCAGAUAGAGACCAUAGACGAAGGAUAAGAAAUGUAAUUUGAUGAUUUCCCAUGUUGAUAUGUGUACGAUCCUGUCUGCGAUCAUUAUAGCAGUCUAAGCAAAAAUAAUUAAGAAGAAUCCUACUUCAACUUCCUUCCUUUUGAGUAAAAGUUGGAUUUUCAAAUGGAUCAUAUUCGAUGCGAUGACCGGAAAUAUUCUACAUUACCGACGUUGUCUCAUCAAUAACUACUAUGAUCUUAUGUAAAUUAUGGAAAAUAAUACCAAAAAUUUGGCAGCGGUGGGAUUCGAACCCACGCCUCCGAAGAGACUGGUGCCUUAAACCAGCGCCUUAGACCGCUCGGCCACGCUACCUUGUUUGAAUUCUACAAUAUGCGCACACACAGACACACGCACAAGUGAUUAGCAGAUCAAGCGGGCCUUCACAUAAUUCAGCAUAAGAUAAACGUGACAACGUUUGCAAUCGAUAGGUGCAAUUAUCAAACAGUUUCUAUUCAUUCAUUCUAAGGAGAGAAAACAAUUAUUAGACAUAAAUCAUGCUGAAAAUGAUAGGAGAGUUUCUAACGUUGACAUCUGCAUAGAUUUAUUCCUGCUUUCAUCGAUAACGCACGUGUAGAGAUAUGGUGUCAAUUAAUCGUAUUCAAAUCAAAACACAGAGUCGUCAAGCGAGAUGGUUAGUGAUGUUAGUGGAUGCUGCAAGUCGCAGGAAAGCACGAAGCGAGGAUGCAUCCCCGCGGUGAGAUGAAUAUUUUAUUGUGUCCAUUAUAAAGAAGACUUCGUUAUUACGUAUGGUAGUUACAUAGAUACAAAUUUGUCAAGUUCGAAGAUACCAUCGUUGGAAUUUUUCUCCCACACUUGAAAACCUUUUCUAGAUCCGAAAGAUUGCAUCCGACAAUACUUAGGAAGAAAUUUCGAUGACAGAUAACGUCAAUGCGGGUACCGUUGAAGUUUACCAACGAGAUAAAUCAUUUUGAGUAUUACGAUCAUCAGCUGCUAUUUUUGAGGGUGUUUCUUUGUUAAGUUUCUAUCCAGACUUAAGAGAUUACUUUUCCAGUAUUCGCCCAGAACAGUUUUAAUCAGAGUAUAAUAGUUCAUCGUAAAGCUGGAUUAUGCGAGUCGAUAUAUAUAUAGGUAUAGAUCGACUUUUCAAACACAAGUACGCCGACGUUCUUUGGAUCUACUUCGCUUUUGUCGGACCGAGUAUUGCGCCUCUCCAUUUUGUCAUCCCCUAGUGGAGUUUCAAUGUUGUAACCAUGGAGACGUCGCGUUUCCGCAAGGGGAACGUAUAAGGGGUGUCGAGCGUACGUAGGCAAGUAUGGUGUGUCUGCCAUUGUUAAAAUUCGUUCGUGUAUUGCGUGUCCAAUAUCGAUAAUGAAAAUACGAUAUUGAAUGAAAGUACGAUGAAAUUGCGAUCGUUUAAUGGUAUCAUUUGAUAAUGUUUCAACAAAAAAAAAACAAAAAACAAAAAAGAAAAAAGGAAAAUAAAAAAUUAUAUAAGAAGAAAAAAUAUUUUGUCGAAAAAUUCGCACAUUCGCGCGUAUUUAUUUGUCAAAUAGACAAAAUAUAAAUUGCUAUGAGCGAUAGAGAAUAACGGUGAAAUAUUUCACACUAUGAGCUAACUAAUUUGAUCC